rnacentral:lncRNA from 1 species
CCCCAUGGUCCUUCCGCUUGGGGCAACCAGCUCAGGAGGAAGUACCAUGUGCUGGUUCCCAACUCAGCGGGAGAGUCAACAGUGUGUUCUCGUGGGCCAGCCAGGCAUCAGGGAUCCUGCUCCCUGGAAGCCUCUCUGUGAGCUCCCUGCCCCGUGGCUGCAAGCAUAUCCGAGGCUAAGGCGGGCCUUCCAGGAGGCUCACACUCAGCCAGGCUUCUCUGUGGAGAGAUGGGGUCUCACCAUGUUGCCA